UGGGGAAUCUUGGACAAUGGGCGCAAGCCUGAUCCAGCCAUGCCGCGUGAGUGGAGAAGGCCUUAGGGUUGUAAAGCUCUUUUGGCAGGGACGAUAAUGACGGUACCUGCAGAAUAAGCCCCGGCAAACUUCGUGCCAGCAGCCGCGGUAAUACGAAGGGGGCUAGCGUUGUUCGGAUUUACUGGGCGUAGAGCGCACGUAGGCGGAUUGUUAAGUGAGGGGUGAAAUCCCGGAGCUCAACUCCGGAACUGCCUUUGAUACUGGCAAUCUUGAGGCUGGAAGAGGUUGGUAGAAUUCCCAGUGUAGAGGUGAAAUUCGUAGAUAUUGGGAAGAAUACCAGUGGCGAAGGCGGCCAACUGGUCCAGAUCUGACGCUGAGGUGCGAAAGCGU
rnacentral:rRNA from 1 species